rnacentral:rRNA from 1 species
UACAGAGGGUGCAAACGUUGUUCGGAAUUACUGGGCGUAAAGCGUGUGUAGGCGGCCUCGUAGGUCGGAUGUGAAAGCUCUCGGCUCAACCCAGGAACUGCACUCGAAACUGCCUUUCUUGAGUGCCGGAGAGGAAAGCGGAAUACCUGGUGUAGAGGUGAAAUUCGUAGAUAUCAGGUGGAACACCAGUGGCGAAGGCGGCUUUCUGGACGGUAACUGACGCUGGAGAACGCGAAAGCGUGGGGAGCAAACAGG